GGCUCGAUGGCGAAUGGUCCGCAUCUGCACUGCCUGUCUGUUUCUGGCACCCUGUCCAAGGCAGAAGAUCCUCGUUCGACUCGGGGUCGAGCCA